rnacentral:lncRNA from 1 species
AUGGGAUCCAGCAAUUGGGGUUUGGAUGGCUUAGUAUUUGUUAUUAAUUGGCAGGUAAGGAAAAAAAAAAUAUACCAGAAACUUCUUCCUAAUGGCACAUUUCUGAGCCCUUUCCUAUAAUCACCAAAUUAUAAUACCCUCUUUAAAGAGGUUAGUUUCUUUUGUUUCAAAAACAAAGUAAUCAAAAUGCUGAAAAAUUCAGUCAUUCUAGUUAAUUCAUUAAAAAUUUUUAAAUGUCUGUAGAGUUGGUGCUAAAGAGUUUUCAUAUCCAUGACUCUUCAAAUCAGUGAUGCUGUCAUGAGGGACCAGGGAAAAAUUUUGAUCUCUUGAUGUACAAAUCACUUUUUGUAUAGGUGAACUGUAAGAGUCAACCUUUAUUUGUAUGCAGGUACCUGUUAAUGAUUGUUAGCCAUCUCUCCUUGUCUCAUCCCUAGUGCCCUAUACUAAAAAAUCGCUACUAUAUGGUCACAUUAAGGAGAUGUCUAAUUUGGGAAAACUUCAUUUUGAUGUAUAUUUGGCACCACCACUGAGUCUUAGCAACAUCUAGACUUUUGUAGAACAUAAAGUCUCUUAUGAUACAAAGUGAU